rnacentral:rRNA from 1 species
AACCUGGUUGAUCCUGCCAGUAGUCAUAUGUUUGUCUCAAAGAUUAAGCCAUGCAUGUCUCAGUAUAAGUCUUCACAUGGCGAAACUGCGAAUGGCUCAUUAAAACAGUUAUAGUCUAUUCGAUGGUCAACAGUUACACGGAUAACUGCGGUAAUUCUGGAGCUAAUACGUGCGUAAACGCCCGACUUCUCGGAAGGGCUGUACAUACUAGAUACAGAACCAAUGCUCGCAAGAGUUUUUGGAUGAUUCAUAAUAUGCGAAUGGAGCGCAAGCCUUGUGGCGGCGCUAGGUCGUUCGAGUUUCUGACCUAUCAGCUUUCGACGGUAGGGUAUUGGCCUA